GUUAUGUUACUUCCGUUACCCGCGAUCCCACGCAGGGGAUUUUUGAGUACUAGGUGUGACUCGUAAACAGAUGGUUAUGCUCGUUGGGUUUUUCUGUUGUACUCUCGUUCUUUAGAAAGCCAAUCAAUAGUUUUUGAACCACUCACGCUUAAUCACCGUUCGAUCACUUGAAUUUCUCCAAUACCGGAAUGCUUGUUCUACGAUACAUAAUAAAGUGCGUUCAAAUUGUU